CCAGCUCGCAGUAAGAACCUUCAUACCUCUGUCUGAAGCUUCCUCUCUUGUGUUGAGUAGCCAAAGAAAGGAUGAAGUUGGUGGGGAUUCUCUUGCUUGGAGUUCUAGUGAUGAACUCAUGCUCAGUGAUGCCAAGGAAGGUGUUGUUCGAAGACGACAUCCAUGGAGGAGGCCAAGCUGAUGAGGGAGAGCAAGGAGUGGAAAGGUUUGGCUAUUCUGAUGCCGACACCAAUAACCAUCACGCCAUACCCAGAGAUCAGUACAACAACUGGGUGAAUAGUCCAGGAUACAUGCCGGGAGAUGGCGGAAAUGUCAGUGGCACAGGAUGAAGCCAUGGUUCCUGAAAGUACGGUUGGAGUAAAGCAGCAUGUGAGAUGCCAUACGUGCUAAGAGUACAUGAAUAGGUUACAGGUGCGUAGACCACGCAUGGAUGUCAACCCCUGCUCUGUGAACCUUACUCCCUUCUGUAAUAUAAGAAGAGUCUCUCUCUCUCUCUCUCUCUCUCUCUCUCUCUCUCUCUCUACACAUACACACGGAGGUCAAGGUUUGUAGAAAGAAGUUAAUAAUACGAAGGAAAAGAAGUUGAUACUA